UGCACUGGAAAAACUUCUGGUGGCGUGUUGCAGUUUCUUGUGGUUUCUACGGACUUGGGCUGAUUGUCAGAGUGAUGUCAGCCGAGACAGUUACACAUACUGAGGCAAGACCCGUGGAGGACACGUGAUGAUUGGAAGGAGCAUAAAAGGACUCGAUGGACAGUGGCAGAGGCCGAGCGUGGCUUGUUAGUAGAUGUGGCUGUGCAACACUUGGUUUCGAAUCCUCCCUGAUCUUUGCUUUGCUGUGAGAGGCACAGCUGAGAACUUCUGAGGUUUCUGCUGGUCCCUCCUGCUGACCAGGGCAGAAGCUGAGGCUUGGUUGUCUCCCUAGGUUAUGCCAUCGCUGCUGAUUCCUGUUUGCUAUCCCGACUUUACCGAACUGGACUGCUGGUGUACCUGUAGAGUGUUUGUGAGUGGAUCGAGCUGCCCCUGCUGAAUCCUGUGAAUGGAACUGCUGAUUUCCUGACAGUGCAGAUGGGAUUCUCUCCAAUGAUCUAAGCAGGUCCGCUUCCCCCGUAUCCUUUCCUUUCCAUUACCUCUGGUGGGUGGUGGGCUAAAAGGGAGGUUAAAGCAUUUAAGAAUCAUCAUUAAAAAUAGGCUCUAAAACAAAAAAUUAAAGUUACACCAGUGUUGCUGGUAGUCCAGGGGUUCAGCACAUGGGGGUGACAUCUGGGUAAGAAGACUGGAGAGACACUUCCCACAGACCUGGAUCGCGUUUUGGGCGCUGCCGUUUUGGCAGUGAGGUAUCCCAUGAUAGUUACUAUUUUACCAAGUGGUCCCUCCUUAUCCAAAGAGGAAGCAAUCUAAGACUGAAGUGGGUACCAGAAACUGCUGAUUCAGAGGGCACCAGACCUGAUGCGUACUGUCUUUUAUGUGAAUUUUACAUACGAAUAUAUACAUAUGUAUAAUAUACUAAUAGAUGAGUGAUUUUGAUUUAUAAAUUAAACAUAGUAAAAAUAAUAAUAGCAAGGAUAAACUAGAAUAAUCGGAAUGGUACAUUACAAUAAAAGUUAUCUAAAGCUCGCAAGUUGUUUGUUUCUGGAAUAUUCCAUUGAAUAUUUUUCUUUUUUUUCUUUUUUUUAGUUCUUUUUUUUUUUUUUUUCGGAGCUGGGGACCGAACCCAGGGCCUUGCGCUUCCUAGGUCAGUGCUCUACCACUGAGCUAAAUCCCCAGCCCCUUUCUUUUUUUUUCCUUUUUAAGAUUUUUUUUUUUUUUUUUUUUUUGUAUAUAAGUACUCUGUCUUCAGACACACCAGAAGAGGGCAUCGGAUCCCAUUACAGAUGGUUGUGAGCCACCAUGGUUGCUGAGAAUUGAACUCAGGACCUCUGGAAGAGCAGUCAGUACACUUAACCACUGAGCCAUCUCUCCAGCCCCCAUUGAGUAUUUUUUUAGACACUGGUUGAUCAUAAGAAACUGAAACCUUUGGAAGAGAAAUUGUGGCUAAGUGGGGACUGACUACUCUACAUCCCAGGCCUCAUGACCUGAGGUGUGUCUCACGGCUUCACAUUCCUCCUGAGACUGUAUGCCUGGGUUCUUAUUAGGUUCCUGACCUGCCAUGUUCUGCACCCUCAGCUCCCUCCUCAUUCUUCCCUAGACCCUUAAUUCCACAUCUCCAGUAUCCAGACAAACUGAGAUGCGCACUGCCGCACUACUUGUGCUAGUAGUAGGCCUUGAACUUCAUAUUUGUCCUGUUUGUACCCAGGCCACAGUACUUGCCUGGUCCCCAUCUUGUCCCUCAGGCUCCUUGGCAGCCCCAUCCUCCACCCUGCUCCUCAGUGUUACAGUCAUCGUGGGUCAGACCUGAGAAGAGACAGAGAUUGACAGCACAGAACUGACAGCCUCAAUGUGGACCUGCCAGAUGUAAGAAGUUAACGUUUGCCAGAGGAGGCAUCGCAGAUCGGGGAAGAGGAGGAGGCUUGCCAAUCAACGGCAUAGGGACAAUUGAUGAGCUCCUUGGAAAAAAAAUCAAUUUAGAUAAUUAUCUUAGCCUCCUCCAGAUUAAUUCCAGAUUUAUUGAUGAGGUAAGUCCCCCACUCCCCACCCCCACGCCCAGAGGGAAUGACUAGAGAAUAUUUAUUAAGUCUCUGGGAGAAGGAGGGCUAUCUCCUUAGCUUGGAUUUUCAUGAUCUUCUUAAUAGGGGGAAAAAAUCAAUAGGUUAAAAAAGAAAAAAGAUCUGGGCUGGAGAGAUGGCUCAGCCUUUAAAGGCUAAGCUCAUGCCCCUAAAAAAAAAUUCUGUUCAAUUCUGCAUGCUGAAAAAGCAAUCCAAAUAAAAAGAAAUGAACUCUUUGAAUUAAAAAAGAAAAAACAGUACUGAAUACAGUCAAUGAGGACAUAAUUCAGACCAAUAGACACUCUACAGAGGGACAUAGGUCUCCAUGAGGAAAUGGAACGGAUAACAAGCAUACGGGCAACUGGUCAGCCUUGCUCGACACACUGAAGUCUGCAUGUAGAUGGGCUAAGGGAGAGACAGGGACAGGGCUGGCAGUAGACGGAGCUCAGGAGGAAGAAAGCUAGCUUAGCAUGCAGGAAGGCCUGGGUCCGAUUCUCAGCGCUGCUUAAACCAAGCCUACCUGUAAUUCUAAGACAGGAUGUGGAAGAGGAAGGAUCUGAAGUUCAUGGGCAUCCCUGGCUAGGUAUCUAGUCUGGGACCAGAUUGGGUUGACAUGAGAACAUGUUUCAGAAAAAAAUAAAGGAAGGAGGGGUUGGGGAUUUAGCUCAGUGGUAGAGCGCAUGCCUAGCAAACGCAAGGCCCUGGGUUCGGGCCUCAGCUCCAAAAAAUAGAAAAAAGAAAAAAAAGAAAAAAAAAUAAAGGAAGGAAGGAAGGGAGGAAGGGAGGGAGAAAGGAAGGAAGGAAGGAAGGGAGAGGGAGGAAGGAAGAAAGGAAGAAAGAGAGCUGGAGAGAUGACUCAGCGGUUAAGAGCACUGUCUGCUCAUCCAGAGGUCAUGAGUUCAAUUCCCAGCAACCACAUGUGGCUCACAACCAUCUGUAAUGGGACCUGAUGCCCUCUUCUGGUGUCUGAGGACAGCUACCGUGUACUUAUAUAAGAAAGAAAGAAAGAGAGAGAGAGAGAGAGAGAGAGAGAGAGAGAGAGAGAGAGAGAAAGAAAGAAAGAAAUCUUUUAAAAAGAAAAGAAAAAGGACAGAACUCUUAAUGAGUGUAGUCAUAGGCACAACCAUGACUUGUCUAUGGUCUCUGCUCAUGGGAGGGGGCCCUGAGGCUAUGAGAAGCCAGCAACUUGAUAGCCCUGCAAUCAUUAUUGUUAUUAAAGCCAGCCUCUCCCACCCCUCCGCAGCCUGUAAGGCAGGUGAGUCUGUUCUUAUUUGACUGUUGGGGAGACUGAGGCACAGAGAGCUGUUGUUAGACAGCAUGAGGGUCAGUAUUUGAUGACCCUAAGCCAUCUACCCUGACCCGGCCAGGCUGCCUCUCAGCAAACAAGCAGGUAGUUCGGGGCUGAGGAGAUAACUUGGUGAGUAAAGCACUUGCCUUCCAAGUGUGAGGAUUGAGUGAAGGUCCUAGGACCCACUAACGAAGCAGGGCGUGGUGGCAAGGUCCUGUGAAUUCAGUGCUGGCAAGAACAGAUGAGGGUUCAUGGGGGUGGCUGGCCAGCCCUCAGGGCCUGCUUCUUGAGUUCCAGGCUAUUAGAAACUCUGCUUCAACAAUGUCUGAGAUUCACCUCCACCAUGCAUUUGUGUGUAUCUGGUGCACACACAGAACAGACAGAGACAUAGACACACACAUAAACACAGACACAUACACGCACAGAGAGAAACACAGAAAUAUAGACACACAUACAAACAUGCACAGAGAGACUCAUGGACAGACACAACACAGACACAUACACCCAAACAGACGCAGGUACACUCAGAGAGAAACAACACAUAUAGGCACACACGGAGGUUGACACACGCACACACGCGCGCGCGCGCACACACACACACACACACACACACGCGCGCGCGCGCGCCACUAUACACCUUCCCCCAGCACACAUAACAGCAACCUGACUCCCAAAGGAUCCUGCACCUUGAAGACUCGAAUAAGGAGCUACAAGAAAACAGUGAGAACCAAGAAGAGGGGAAUGCAGCCAGCAAAAGACAGAGUACUGGAUGAACAAGCCCACACCUUGCCCUGAACAUGAGUGCGUGGCCGUUGUUUUCCCUUAGCUCCCUCGAUGACUGUCCCCACCCCAUCAGGUAAUGUGGCCUCCUAAUGCAUCCCUCCCUCCCGAGCCACGGUGCAUCUGAGUAUCUGGAAGCCAGGCUUCAGACCUUCCUGGCAGUAGGCUAGGCUGCCUGUCCCCUGGGAAUCCUUUGUCCUUUCCCAAACCUGCCAUUUGUGGUGGUGGUGGUGGGGGGGGACCGUUGUCUAAGCCUAGUGAUAAUUUAUGUUAAUAUAAUCUGUUUUAAAGUGUGAUGAGGUUGGGGAGGCCUUGGUUCAGCACCCUAAUCAGGAAUGAUUAGUGAGUCUCUGAAGUGUUCUAAUCAAGAACACACGCUCCAGAAGUGCUAUUUGAAUAUUGUUUUUGAAAUCUAGCAACAGAUCCAUUAACUACUCAAGGAAGGGUGGGGGGGGGGGAUUCAGGUUGAAACCUGGCUGACUGGAAAGCUUGUGAGGGAGCCUGUGGGGGCCUGAGGGAGCCUAUGGGGGCCUGCAGGAGCCUGAGGGAGCAGCCAGCCCAGCCUUUGGAAAUACACAUGACUUCUAGACAUCUAUUGGACUCUGUUUUUUCCUAUUUCCCUGAGACUUUAGUGUCCUACCCCAGCUUGAAAUCGGCUAAUCCUGAGUCAGAAUACUGUCCCUUUGGGGUGUACCCCCAGAUUAUUGGAGUGCCCGGAUAGAUGCCUGCCUCAAAUUCACAAAAGUGACUGUGUUGUGUUUAAAGCUCUUUGUUGGGGCUGGGGAUUUAGCUCAGUGGUAGAGCGCUUACCUAGGAAGCGCAAGGCCCUGGGUUCGGUCCCCAGCUCCGAAAAAAAGAACCAAAAAAAAAAAAAAAAAAAAAAAGCUCUUUGUUAAUACACUGGCACACUCGGCAGAAUGUUGUCUUGGACUCCCUUCUGAGACCUGGUGGCAAGGCUAUGGAAGUGGGGGGCACUGUGUAUGUACCCCAGUGACUCUCACGCCAGAGGCCACCAGCAGUCACAGCAGCAAAACCAACAAAAAAUGACUGAGGCCACACUUGCUUGCAUGGAGGGAAUGGGCCGCAUGUAACCCCCUCAGCCUAAGCUCAUUCCCACUGGCCCAAGAGAUUUCCCUACACAUGUAUGAAACAGAGCUGCUAACCACAGAGACAUUAAGGGGGGAAGGUUCCAUUCUCCCCCCAAACCCCUCACUCCUGCUGGAAGCAGACUGAUUGACAGGUACAGGGGAUUGACCUCAGUGAGGUGCCUUCUAAUUAGCAGCCAUGGUGGCCAGGGCCAGCUCUGCAAAUGCCUCCGGGGCUGCCAUUCCGCAGAGCAGGCAGGUCCAUUAGGGCUCUGAGUGCUAGGAGGGGGAGCAGAAGGGGGUACCUCUUUGGGGUAGAGAUGGGGAAGAGGCACCAGAUCCUGAGGUCUUUAUGAGGACAAGACUUCUGCGAGGACGGAGGGAUUUCCCCAGUUGACAGACAAUAAGAAACCAGCCCUAGCCCCCUUCCAGUGCAUUUUCAAUGUCUCUGACAACUUGACCUACUAUUAUGAAAAUUACUCCAAUUCUGCAUUUGCAUGUGAAAUGCCAGCUAAGUGCUCUGAGGGGCAGAUUCUGCAAACGAAGCAUUGGAGUUCCUAAAUACAGUGUUGGUGUUUGGUCCUUUGUUGGGCUGGCUUGUGACCCAGAGACAUGACAGGCUUUGCCCCGUGGCCUGUGGUGAAUUACUUGUCCCCCCAAAUGCUUCCUAUGGCUCACAGACAAGCCCCCUUAAAGUAAAUGGGCUUCAAUCACCAGUUUCAACAAUUCUCCUGUCUCCAAGUAAUAAAACAUCUGGGAAAUUGGGCUAAAUGGAUAAAACAGCCCUCUGUAAUAAGUAUCUGGCAUCCGUACAACUCUGUAUAAUGUGCCUUCUUUUUUUAAUGACCAGAUGUGGUACUUCUGUGUUAUGAAAAGCAGAGGCAUGUGUAGCCAUGCCUUUUACUACCUUUAAGAUGCAAGCUCUAUUAAUAGCUCUCAGGAGAGAUGUUCUCCCAUUGACUGAGAAUUGUUGAUGUGUAGGUUUACAAACUUGAAAAGUAAGCGAACCACUCGGAAAAUUGCGGAUAUAAUUUAAGCGGUCGUUAAACUGGACACUUGAAGGAAGCUGGCUUCAGGAAAAGAAUUCGGUCCAUAAAUUUCCCCUCUCUCCCGCUUUCGUAUGGGUGUUGCUCCACUCCUCAUAACUAAAUCCCAGCCUGAGAGACUACUUGUUGAUUCGUUGCUUGGGUAGACAUCAUGUGCUCUUUGAAGGAAGCUCCAACAGGGACUCGAUCCGCUAAAAGAUUCUUCCAAGAGGACACAUGAGCUCCCCUGGGCCUUUGGGUUGCAGACAUGGAAGUGGGAAGAUGUUUCUCUUACUGCGUGGGGCUUGAUCACAGCAAGGGAAACAGUGUCUCGGCCCACAGCUGGGAAACUGUCUAAACUAAGUUUGAAAGAGCAAUUUGAUGAAGACAUGUCUUUGCUUGUGAGUUGGUGUGCCAAUCUCUACUGGGUACAGUGUGCCAGAAUGUAACCAUGAUCUGGUAACCAACUAUGGAGAAGGGGCAAAGUGGAUUAAAAAAAAAACAGUCUAAUUGUAGUCAAUUGAUUCCAGCUUCUCCUCUGUCACACUGUUAUCAGAUCUGUCAACAUGGGGCAAAGUAAAUCAAAUAAUCAUGUCUUCUCUCCCUAUAAAUCCAGUGUGUGUGUGUGUGGGUGUGCGUAUGUGUGUGAGAGAGAGAGAGAGACAGACACAGAGAGAGAGAGACAGAGACACAGAGAGAGACAGAAAGAGAGUGAGGAGGAAAAUGGGGUGGGGUGGGGCAAACCUGGCACUCCAGAGGGCCGGAAAACAGGAACCAUGAGUGGCAGGAAGAUAGAGGAGACAGUGUAGUUCAGUGGUUAAGAACUC